rnacentral:rRNA from 1 species
UACGGAGGGUGCGAGCGUUGUCCGGAAUUACUGGGCGUAAAGCGCACGUAGGCGGCUUUGUAAGUUAGAGGUGAAAGCCCGGGGCUCAACUCCGGAACUGCCUUUAAGACUGCAUCGCUUGAAUCCGGGAGAGGUGAGUGGAAUUCCGAGUGUAGAGGUGAAAUUCGUAGAUAUUCGGAAGAACACCAGUGGCGAAGGCGGCUCACUGGACCGGUAUUGACGCUGAGGCACGAAAGCGUGGGGAGCGAACAGG